GGACGCCAUCUUGACUGUGGGCAG
rnacentral:miRNA from 1 species